rnacentral:misc_RNA from 1 species
GAUGAAGAACGUAGUGAAAUGCGAUAAGUAGUGUGAAUCGCAGAAUUCAGUGAAUCAUCGAAUCUUUGAACGCACAUUGCGCCCCUUGGUAUCCCGAGGGGCAUGUCUGUUCGAGCGUCAUUUCACCACUCAAGCCUGGCUUGGUGUUGGGCGACGUCCUCUUUGGGGACGCGCCUCGAAACGCUCGGCGGCGUGGCACCGGCUUUAAGCGUAGCAGAAUCUUUCGCUUUGGAAGUCGGGGCCCCGUCUGCCGGAAGACCUGCUCGCAAGGUUGACCUCGGAUCAGGCAGGGAUACCCGCUGAACUUAAGCAUAUCAAUAAGCGGAGGA